AGCAAAUCCUUGAGAGCUGCAGCCAUUAAGGGGAAGGAUACCCGCCCCCCUGUCCACAGCCAAGAAGGAUCCUUCUGGAUUCAGAAAGUCUGAUGUUUAGUUAGCCAGUUCCCUCGCCAACCACCGCCUGCAGUUCCCCCUCAGACCUAAACUGUCCCAGCAGAGCGAAUAAAGGGGAAAGGCAGCCUGGGGUGGGGAAGGGGAACUCAGCUAAGAAGACCCUCUUUUUCUUCCCCAUUUCUCCCGUCUAUCCCACUUUCUCUCUCCAUCCCCCCCCCUUCUCUCACACACAGCUGAAAAGCUUUCAGUCCUCCCCUUAUGAGGUCUCACAGGUGCCUGUUUCCUUCCAAGCUUUUUUGUUUUUUAAAUCGCCUAGCCAAGUGUCAGAGCCACCUGGGUGACAAGGGAGCAGUUUACGUCUUGCUUUGCCACAGAGAAGAAAAGAGGGAUAGGAUUUUAACCUCUUCGCUGCAUCAGCCCUCCUACCAUGCCUCUGGUUUUCUCCUCCCCCCUUCCCCUGUUUUUCUCUCCCCGUUUCAUUGCCCCCACUUGCCCACAUUGCUCUGGCUUCCACGCACCAUCUGGCACCAGAGAAGGAGAAACCUCUUGCUCUAAUGUCAGCCUGGAUCCAAGAAGAGGACAACAAAGGAUGCCCAAAAGGUCACUGUCUCCUUCUUGAAAAGUUAGUUAGACCUUUGCAUGGGAGGGAACAUCCACAAGGCUCCCACCUCAGGAUGGAUGCUAGCCAAACAUCAAUACAUGAGAACCAGUUUAAGGAGCCAUUCUAUUGAAAUUAGGGAGAGAACAGAAGAAAAGAAUGAAGACCGAAUCAAACCAAAGACCUUCCUUGUCCAGCAUUCUGCACUGAGAAGUGUGCACACCCUCAUACAAAUGAAAACUGGGACAUGUGUGACCAAGCAACAUGAAAGUGUGGUCAAGAUGGUAAAAGAGUCUAAUGAGGGAGAACACAAAAAGGAAGAGAGGAGAGAGAAACCGGGCCAUUUUAAAUCCAGCUGAAAAGUUGGGUGACAGAUGAUUAAUCGGGACUGUCCCUUCCAAAUCAAGGUAGAUGGAGAGUAUGUGUGACCAAAAGUACCUACCAGUUUCACUUGCUAUACAAUCCACAUGUUGUGCCUUCUUCCUGAUACUUUUCAUCUUGUCUACAUAAUCUACUCCUUGGUGACACUGGACUAGACUAUAGUCAUGCUUUCAUGUUUUCUACACAGAGCUGCCCUUGAAGACAGUUUAUAAACUUCCACUGCUAGAAAAUGUAGUGAUAAAGAUGUUAACUUGUACAGGCAACUAGAAGCAAUGAACACAGUCUCAAAAGGUGUAUAUACACAGGCUAGUGAUCUCCUUUGGCCUAAAACCUUAUCCAGAACUGUUUGGAAGACUUCACGAAUGCCAGUUGCACAGAGCUGCAGUCACUUUACACAAAAAGGAAGAAAACACCAAGACAGCAACAGAAAGGGAAACAGCAAGGGAGAUAAAAUAUCUAGAAGUAAGAUCAUACAAAAGAAGAAAGGCUAUGGAUGUUUAGCCUCAGGAGAUGUGAAGGGAAGAAUGAAGGGUGAGAUAGAUUCUGAACUGCACCAAUAAAACCAUUUCCAAAAAAUAUUAUAAAAGAUGCCAGAAUGCAAUGUGAAAGAAAUUAUCCCCCCUCUUCAAUAAUAUUCCAAGAAACAGUGGGUUAAGCCCAUAGAAGGUCAAUAGAGAUUAAAUGUUUAGUGGAUGAGUCUUUACAUAAAAGUCUGUCGAUGAACCUCCACAUGGUCAGAACCCUCCAGGUGAAACUGGUUGCUAAAGUUGUAACAGCUGCUACAUCUUCCUAUAGAGAAGCCUCCCCCAGCUCUCUUUCAUUUCUAUCAACUCAGUUGCCUUCUGGCAGUGCUUCAUUUCUUCUUAUAGCAGUAAAGAGCAACAAAGAAGUCAAAGUAACACAGAGAAGACUGGAAGGUCACUGUCUGGUUGACUUCUGUAAACUGUCAGAACGAAUUGCUUCUAAAGUCACCCAGAGGCUUUUCUAACACAUGGACCUUAGUCCACAACCAUCUGUACUGACCAACCCUAUGGCUGAAAUCCUCUGCUUCAUUAUGCACACUUAUAUACCAUUGAUUUUACCUGCAUCUGGACACUUGUAGCUGGGUGCAAGAGCUCUGUUCUUAAGUAUUUAGAUACAGACUAUCUGAAAUCCCAUGGGGCUCUUCAGACCAGCCAUUAAGGCUGGCCUGGGGGUGGAGUUGGGGCAUUGCAUCCACAUGACGCAAGCCCUGACUCUGCCCCCUAGGGCGCCAUGAUGGUACUCACCACUCCACAUGGCAUGCAGCAUCGCGGUUCUCCUCCAGUGCUGCAUCCGGAUGACACAGCACCGAAGGAGCGCCGUAUAGGCAUGGUGCCAUAGCUAUCACACCCUUUCCAGGGUGCAAAAAGGAGCUGCUUUUUUGGCUCCUUUUCAUGCCCUGGAAAGGCCGGAUUGAGGCCACAGUGUGCGGUUGCUGCAGCCUCGAUCCAGCUGAAAAAGGGGCAGAUGGAGACCCAAAUACCUCCCUUAAUCAUGCCUUAAGAUCAUUGGAGGAAGGUAUUCUCUUGGUUCUACCACCUACACAGAUAGGUUUCACAAGAAUACAGGGGACAGACUUCUUGGUAGCUGCUUCAAGGCUGUGGACUCUCUCCCACUAGAUACUAGGCUAGUAUCUGUCAGGGAUGAUGGGAGUUGUAGCUCUUCACCUCUGGCUCUAACUCACCACCUUGUUAUG